rnacentral:rRNA from 1 species
AUUGAACGCUGGCGGCAUGCCUAACACAUGCAAGUCGGACGAGUGGCGGACGGGUGAGUAAUGCCUCGGAAACUACCUAGUGGAGGGGGAUAACUGUUCGAAAGGGUAGCUAAUACCGCAUAUUAUUAGAAGUGCCCAUAUGUGAUUAGCUGGGUGGUGGGGUAAAGGCUAACCAAGGCGACGAUCACUAGCGGGUCUGAGAGGAUGAUCCGCCACACUGGGACGGAGACACGGUCCGGACUCCUACGGGAGGCAGCAGUGGGGAAUAUUGGACAAUGGGCGCAAGCCUGAUCCAGCAAUGCCGCGUGUAUGAAGAAGGCCUUCGGGUUGUAAAGGACUGUUGUCAGGGAAGCGGUACCCGAAGAAUAAGCACCGGCUAACUACGUGCCAGCAGCCGCGGUAAUAC